GGUUAAGCGACUAAGCGUACACGGUGGAUGCCCUGGCAGUCAGAGGCGAUGAAGGACGUGCUAAUCUGCGAUAAGCGUCGGUAAGGUGAUAUGAACCGUUAUAACCGGCGAUUUCCGAAUGGGGAAACCCAGUGUGUUUCGACACACUAUCAUUAACUGAAUCCAUAGGUUAAUGAGGCGAACCGGGGGAACUGAAACAUCUAAGUACCCCGAGGAAAAGAAAUCAACCGAGAUUCCCCCAGUAGCGGCGACCGAACGGGGAGCAGCCCAGAGCCUGAAUCAGUGUGUGUGUUAGUGGAAGCGUCUGGAAAGGCGCGCGAUACAGGGUGACAGCCCCGUACACAAAAAUGCACAUGCUGUGAGCUCGAUGAGUAGGGCGGGACACGUGGUAUCCUGUCUGAAUAUGGGGGGACCAUCCUCCAAGGCUAAAUACUCCUGACUGACCGAUAGUGAACCAGUACCGUGAGGGAAAGGCGAAAAGAACCCCGGCGAGGGGAGUGAAAAAGAACCUGAAAC
rnacentral:rRNA from 1 species